AAGUUCUAAUCCACAUGAUGUGUUUUGCGUCAUAUUACUCAUGACAAAUUCAUGGAUUCUGGAGAAACCUCCUCUAGCAUUUCCUCCAUUGGAGGUUCUCUGUUGUACAAUGAUAAUGAGCCGGCAAAAACUGACAUCCAUUGCUCUUUAGUUGCUGGACUCUGGAAUUUUUGAGGUUGGGCAGAAGGCCAUAUGGUUCGGAGCAUGCAUUUCUGGCUCUAGAAUGCAGAUCUCAUAGUCAAGGAACGGUUACAGAAGUCUUUCAGGCAUCAGAACUAGGAAUAGUUUGAAGAAACCUGAAUUCAUGAAUAGUGAGACGGGAAUACAAAUAUUCAUGGAGAUGGUGAAGUGUCUCAUGCAAGUUGCAUGCAUUUACCUCUCCCUGGGUCGGAUUGCAUCGUUUGAACGAUAAAGACAAUAUUAGGUGCACUGAGGAUUGACUUGUAUAUCACUUAUUUCAGCUAACUGUAGGAUAACGCUUGUGUAAAGAAUCAUCUUUCGAAGUAGACAAGUAAGGUGGUUCUUUGUAACCAUUUUCUUAAAGCUACUUUUUUUUUUGUCUCUACUUUACAUUCUUUCUGCUCUCAGCCGACGGAGUGUGAACUCGAAAUUCUAUCAAUCAAUUACUUCUGUCA